GCCGGGCUCCCUGAAGAAAACGUGUGAGAGAGAUUAGAGAGAGAAGGGGUGGGCAUCGGCUUGGCCUGCUUGCGCGCGGUUGGAGGAGGCAGGGCCCUUACCUCGAUCUGGCGCCACGGUCCCUAGGGCGUGCGGAGGACAGGAGGAGGGAAGAGAGAUGGGGGGUGCGGGGCGGAGAAGAGGAGAGAGCAGCGCUGAUGGGGGCGUGGAUUGAUGACGAGCAGUGCUGUGUGGAUAAGGGAGCUCUCCGGUGGGGAUUUUUGUCUAUUUUUUUAUUGAUUGCACACCGACCAGAAGCUGCUGGAUUGAUUUAUAUUUCCAGUCGAUGAUUGUGGACCAUGUUUUUUUUACCCCAUGCCCUUUUGUUGUAGUAUUUUUUUGGUGAUGCCAGGUAAGUUAUAUUAUUGCUGUACUUAAAUGUUGAUAUUAGUAUAUGUAGCAACAGACUGUCGGGAUGGUAGCUCUAGCCUCUGCCAACGUUCUAAAAAUGUAGCAUCCGUACCAUGCAAAACAAAAAAAA
rnacentral:lncRNA from 1 species